rnacentral:rRNA from 1 species
AUACGUAGGGGGCAAGCGUUAUCCGGAUUUACUGGGUGUAAAGGGCGCGUAGGCGGGAGUGCAAGUCAGGUGUGAAAUCUAUGGGCUCAACCCAUAAACUGCAUUUGAAACUGCAUUUCUUGAGUGAAGUAGAGGUAAGCGGAAUUCCUGGCGUAGCGGUGAAAUGCGUAGAUAUCAGGAGGAACACCAGUGGCGAAGGCGGGUAACUGGACUGCAACUGACGCUGAGGCGCGAAAGUGUGGGGAGCAAACAGGAUUAGAUACCCUGGUAGUCCACACUGUAAACGAUGAAUGCUAAGUGUUGGAAUUAUCCAGUGCUGCAGUUAACGCAAUAAGUAUUCCGCCUGGGGAGUACGGCCGCAAGGUUGAAACUCAAAUGAAUUGACGGGG